UACGGAAGGCAGCAGUGGGGAAUAUUGCACAAUGGGCGCAAGCCUGAUGCAGCCAUGCCGCGUGUAUGAAGAAGGCCUUCGGGUUGUAAAGUACUUUCAGUCGUGAGGAAGGUGUUAAGGUUAAUAACCUUAGCAAUUGACGUUAGCGACAGAAGAAGCACCGGCUAACUCCGUGCCAGCAGCCGCGGUAAUACGGAGGGGCUAGCGUUAUUCGGAAUUAUUGGGCGUAAAGAGCGCGUAGGCUGAUUAGUAAGUUAAAAGUGAAAUCCCAAAGCUUAACUUUGGAAUUGCUUUUUAAAACUGCUAGUCUAGAGAUUGAAAGAGGAUAGAGGAAUUCCUAGUGUAGAGGUGAAAUUCGUAAAUAUUAGGAGGAACACCAGUGGCGAAGGCGUCUAUCUGGUUCAAAUCUGACGCUGAGGCGCGAAGGCGUGGGGAGCAAACGAGGAUUAGAUACCCGU
rnacentral:rRNA from 1 species